AACGAACGCUGGCGGCAGGCCUAACACAUGCAAGUCGAGCGAAGCCUUCGGGCUUAGCGGCGGACGGGUGAGUAACGCGUGGGAACGUGCCCUUUGGUACGGAAUAGCCCCGGGAAACUGGGAGUAAUACCGUAUGUGGUCGAGAGACGAAAGAUUUAUCGCCAAAGGAGCGGCCCGCGUUGGAUUAGGUAGUUGGUGGGGUAAUGGCCUACCAAGCCGACGAUCCAUAGCUGGUUUGAGAGGAUGAUCCGCCACACUGGGACUGGGACACGGCCCAGACGCCUACGUGAGGCAGCAGGUGGGAAUCUUAGACAAUGGGGGAAACCCUGAUCUAGCCAUGCCGCGUGAUCGAUGAAGGCCUUAGGGUUGUAAAGAUCUUUCAGUGGGGAAGAUAAUGACUGUACCCACAGAAGAAGCCCCGGCUAACUCCGUGCCAGCCGCCGCCGUAAGAC
rnacentral:rRNA from 1 species